GUGGCCCUGGGGGACGGGCCUGAAGCUGGUGGGCUCAGCUGAGUCCACGCCGAGGCCACUGCAUCUUCGACCCUUGUUCUACACCGAGCGGAGACCUAACGGGAUAAUGAGGGCGCUGACGGGCGUUUAGGGCCCCCGGCUCCGUCUCCAGGUAGGAGCCGGCCGCCCGGCCCUUCGUCGGGCGCAGGCUCGGGGCACUGGGCGGCUGGCGCCGAGGCCGCUGGCCCUUUCCCGCCUCGUGCGCCUGCCCAGUAGUGAGCGCGCCUGCCGCCCCGCGGGAGGAGAGCAGUGUGGAGGCGGGCGGCCGAGUCCGGGGGAGGGGGGGGCGCCGUUCCCCGCGCCCUCCACACCCGCCGCGAGCCGAGCUCCUCAGGCCCGGCAGGAGGCGCUGUGCGGACGAAUUAAAGCAGAAUACCAAGGUUUUAGGGGUGGCGGUUUCGCAGCCCAGGAUAGCACCCCUUUAGUUGAGUGACCCUAUUCAGACCUCCUCCCUCUCUUUAAUAUGGGUGUGUGUGUGUAUGUGUGUGUGCGCGCGCGUGUGCGCGUGUUGGAUUAGUCACAAGGAUGAAACGUCAGCGAAAGAGAUUGAAAAGGAGAAAGUCUUAAAUUUUUCAGGUUCGCCGACCGCUUUAAAAGGAAGAUGUCGGGCAGACGUUCUAAUUCUUGCUUAUAAAGGGCUCGCCUAUCACUGCCGUUUGUUAAAGAGGCAACUCGACUCGAAGGGUUUGGUUCAAAUUCUUUUACUGAAAUAAAGGUUUAUACAAGACUAUUUCUGUUUAUUGCUCUCUGAAAGAUCACAUCAGGAACAGGAGUAUAAUUACAUCAUCUCCUUAACCAGGAGAAUUGCUGUCUGCUCCUCAGCUCUGUAUCAUUAAUGAAGAUCUUUGUUGGGUUUCCUUAACACAGUGUUUUGGCUCUCUUCUGUGACUCGGUAACUGGAGCGAAGGGGAGGAAGAAAUGUAAUCACAACCGCUUUAAACCAGUCUUUUUAACUAGGCAUUCAAACAUCCUAAUGCAGAUUAAGUCUUGAAACAACACUCCCAAUUAAACUUCUUCCAAAAUCAUACCAUGAGGUAUAGAAGCAAUGGACUGGUAAGGUAAGUAAAAUAACACACCGUGAGAAGUAAGGGGAUCUUAGAUAUUAUGUAGUCUAGUAUUUCUCAAAAUGUGGGUCAUCUAUCUGCAGAAGAAUUUCUUGCCUCAUUACAAAUGUAGACUCUUGGGCUACAUAUCAAAGCUAAUCAAUUUCUUUUUUUUUUUUUAAUGUUUAUUUAUUUUUGAGAGAGAGAAAGACAGAGUGCAAGCUGGGGAGGAGCAGAGAGA